AUGUGGACAAGGACUGCCAGUAGCUGGGGCAGCCCUGGAUGUCGAAAAUCUUGUUUAUCCCUGUUUUUAGCUGCCUACAUUGUGAAUUCCUGGUUCCCCUUGACUCACUCUAAAAGGCAGAAAGAAAUCGUUAAAACCAUUGAUAUCGUCGUAACUCCGAGAUAUCCCAUCGAGGGACAAGAUGUUGAAUUUGCCCCGAAAGGGAGUAUGGAACAUGUAACCGCCUGCCUGUGGUACAGAGGGGAGGAGGAUACAUACGCUGAAAUCUUUUUCAUUAAACGAAACCCUUUUCAACUCUCAUAUUCCACCGGCUACAACGGGCGACAGAAUGCAGGAGAGGACUGCAUCUUGCAUAUCCAGAACGUUACAUUUGACGAUCAGGCCUUGUACGGACUCCACAGGAACGAAACGAGUAAAUCUGAAAAUGGGGAGACCUUUUUACGAGUUCUAAGCAGACCACGGAGCCCUCCAGUAGCGCCAAAAGCUCUGGGUUCAGGGCUCCUCGCUCUGAUCAUUGCCGCCUGUCUCGUUGGAGCGAUCUUCAUUGCUGCCCUGUUUACUUACCAAGCCGUCGGAACCUCCGAAGCUGUCGAAGACCUUACAUGGACCAUGCACCUUACUACUGAAACUUUGCAGGACACUUCACUGCAGAGAGAACUUCCUCACAGCACCAAGCCAGAGCCAGUGAAGGCCCGACCAAGUGGAGUAAGUCAACCAAGUCAACCAGGAAAAAGUGCCCACAGAAUGGCGGCCAAAAAGCCCUAG
rnacentral:lncRNA from 1 species